rnacentral:rRNA from 1 species
UACGGAGGGUGCGAGCGUUAUUCGGAAUUACUGGGCGUAAAGCGUGCGUAGACGGUUAUUUAAGUCGGAUGUGAAAGCCCCGGGCUCAACCUGGGAAUUGCAUUCGAGACUGAAUAGCUAGGGUGCGGUAGAGGGAAGCGGAAUUUCCGGUGUAGCGGUGAAAUGCGUAGAUAUCGGAAGGAACAUCAGUGGCGAAGGCGGCUCGCUGGGCCGUUCCUGACGCUGAGACGCGAAAGCUAGGGGAGCGAACAGG